GAUGAAGAACGCAGCGAAAUGCGAUACUUGGUGUGAAUUGCAGAAUCCCGUGGACCAUCGAGUCUUUGAACGCAAGUUGCGCCUCAAGCCAUUAGGUUGAGGGCACGUCUGCCUGGGCGUCACAUAUCGUUGCCUGAUGCCAGUUUCCUCGUGAUGGGUGACUGUGCAGGGCGAAUGAUGGCUUCCCGUGAGCAUUGUUGCCUCAUGGUUGGUUGAAAAUUGAGUCCUUGGUAGGGAGCGCCGUGAUAGAUGGUGGUUGAGUGACGAACGAGACCCAAUCAUGUGAGACCCCUACCGAAUUUGGCCUUCAUGACCCACAUGCGUCUUUGGAACGCUCAUGACGAGACCUCAGGUCAGGCGGGGCUACCCGCUGAGUUUAAGCAUAUCAACGGAGGA
rnacentral:misc_RNA from 1 species